rnacentral:tmRNA from 1 species
GGGGGCGUUCUGGAUUCGACGGGGGUAGGUCGGGCAUAAGUAGCGAGUCGGGGGGCUGCGGGCCUCGUUAACAACGCGGAGUUAAAUAUAACUGCAAAACAACCUAAUUUACAAUUAGCUGCCUAGUUGCAGCCUAAUCCUUCUCUAGGGAAUCGCCCAUGUUCGCUUUAGAAGGUCAUCUUAGUGGGAUAGCUCUUCCGAACCGUAUCUGAUCGGGGAGCGAACUUAAAAGAUACUAGCCAAUCCGAUAGCCUGUCGUUGGGCGACGGAGCGGCGAACCUUUAAGUACAACGACUGCGCUCGGAGAAGCUUAUGUUGCGUUACUUUCGGACGUGGGUUCGAUUCCCACCGCCUCCACCA